GACGAACGCUGGCGGCGUGCUUAACACAUGCAAGUCGAACGGAAAGGCCUUCUUGCCCUUGUGGAUUGCGGAUACUCGAGUGGCGAACGGGUGAUUAACACGUGAGUUAUCUGCCCCCAACUUGGGUAUAAGCCUGUGAAACUUGUUCUAAUUCCCUAUAUGACUGCAGGGUGGUGCCUGUUGUGGAGAACGAUGUUCUAGUGGUUGGGGAUGAGCUCGCGGCCUAUCAGCUUGUUGGUGGGGUCAUGGCCUACCAAGGCGGCGACGGGUAGCCGGCCUGAGAGAGUGGACCGGAAAAGGGGAACGGCGACACGGCCACGAAGACUACGCGCGGAAGCAGUGGGGAGGAUGGAGUGAUGGGCGGAAGACUGAGGGAGCGAGGCCGAGGCAGGGAUGCCGGGUUUGGGAUGGCAACCUUCGGUUGACAGAGAGGAAGCAACACGGUUGGAAGGGUGGUGACGGUAGUGGUAGAAGAAGCACCGGCUAACUACGUG
rnacentral:rRNA from 1 species